rnacentral:rRNA from 1 species
GACGAAGGGGGCUAGCGUUGUUCGGAAUUACUGGGCGUAAAGCGCGUGUAGGCGGCUGUUCAAGUCAGGUGUGAAAGCCUUGAGCUCAACUCAAGAAAUGCACUUGAUACUGGAUGACUAGAGGACCGGAGAGGAUAGUGGAAUUCCCAGUGUAGUGGUGAAAUACGUAGAGAUUGGGAAGAACACCAGUGGCGAAGGCGGCCAUCUGGACGGUUUCUGACGCUAAGACGCGAAAGCGUGGGGAGCAA